AGCAGCCUGUGUGCAUUCAGCAGUCUGUGUGUGUAUAGCAGUCUCUGUGCGUGUGUUUGUGUGCAUUCAGUGUAGUGUGUGUAUGUACUCAGCAGUCUGUCUGUGUGUACUCAGCAGUCUGUCUGUACUCAGUAUGUACUCAGCCUCUGUGUGUGUUCAACAGUGGGUGUGUGCGUGUAUUCAGCAGUCGAUGUGUGAAUGUGUUGAUCAGUCUGUGACUGUAUUCAGCAGUCUGUGUGUAUGUAUGUUUUGCAUUUGUUGG